GAUGAACGCUAGCUACAGGCUUAACACAUGCAAGUCGAGGGACCGGCGCAGGGGUGUGUUACCCGUAUCCAACCCGCCCUUUACUCGGUGACAGCCUUUCGAAAGAAAGAAUAAUACCUGAUAUAAAGGAGGGGGAUGGGUUCCAUUAGGUUGUUGGUAAGGUAACGGCCCACCAAGCCUUCGAUGGAUGGGGGUUCUGAGAUGAAGGUCCCCCGCAUUGGAGCUGAGGCACGGACCACACUGCGACGCAGGGCAGGAGUGAGGAGUAUUGGUCAAUGGGCGGUGGCCUGGACCAGCCGAGUAGCGUGAAGAAGGAAGGGUUUUGAGUCGUAAUCUUCUUUUAUAGAAGAAGCUGUAUUAUAUGAAUAAGGAUCGGCUAACUCCGUGCCAGCAGCCGCGGUAAUAC
rnacentral:rRNA from 1 species